GCCAGUGUGCUGUAGUGGUUCGAGUGCUGGACUACAGCUCUGAAGACCAGGGUUUGAAUCCCUGCUUCAGCA